UGUCUCCUAACAGGGGACUGAGGUUUCUCGAGAAGGCAGAGCUGUGCUCUAGAGAAGAUGAGACUGCUGGGUCUCCUCCUGUGCCUGGUGACAGCCCCCCUGGGUGUCCUGUCCCAGGUGCAGCUUCAGGAAUCUGGCCCAGGACUGGUGAAGCCCUCUCAGACCCUCUCCCUCGCCUGCACUGUGCCUGGGUUCUCCAUCACAACCAAUGGUUACUGCUGGCACUGGAUCCACCAGCCUCCAGGGAAGGGGCUGGAGUGGAUUGGGGAUAUAUGUUACGAUGGGAACUCUUACUACAGUCCAGGUCUCAAGAGACACACCUCCAUCUCCAGAGACAUGUCCAAGAACCAGUUUCCCUGCAGCUGAGAGCCAUGACCACUG